rnacentral:rRNA from 1 species
UACGUAGGGUGCGAGCGUUGUCCGGAAUUAUUGGGCGUAAAGGGCUCGUAGGCGGUUUGUUGCGUCGGCUGUGAAAACCCGAGGCUCAACCUCGGGCCUGCAGUGGGUACGGGCAGACUAGAGUGCGGUAGGGGAGAUUGGAAUUCCUGGUGUAGCGGUGGAAUGCGCAGAUAUCAGGAGGAACACCAAUGGCGAAGGCAGAUCUCUGGGCCGUAACUGACGCUGAGGAGCGAAAGCAUGGGGAGCGAACAGG